AGAUUGAACGCUGGCGGCAUGCUCUACACAUGCAAGUCGAACGGCAGCACGGGGGCAACCCUGGUGGCGAGUGGCGAACGGGUGAGUAAUGCAUCGGAACGUAUCCUUGAGUGGGGGAUAACGCAGCGAAAGUUGUGCUAAUACCGCAUGAGCCCUGAGGGGGAAAGCGGGGGAUCUUCGGACCUCGCGCUAAGAGAGGAGCCUACGUCCGAUUAGCUAGUUGGCGGGGUAAAGGCCCACCAAGGCGACGAUCGGUAGCUGGUCUGAGAGGACGACCAGCCACACUGGGACUGAGACACGGCCCAGACUCCUACGGGAGGCAGC
rnacentral:rRNA from 1 species